AUUGAACGCUGGCGGCAGGCUUAACACAUGCAAGUCGAGCGGGGGAAGGUAGCUUGCUACCGGACCUAGCGGCGGACGGGUGAGUAAUGCUUAGGAUCUGCCUAUUAGUGGGGGACAACAUCUCGAAAGGGAUGCUAAUACCGCAUACGUCCUACGGGAGAAAGCAGGGGAUCUUCGGACCUUGCGCUAAUAGAUGAGCCUAAGUCGGAUUAGCUAGUUGGUGGGGUAAAGGCCUACCAAGGCGACGAUCUGUAGCGGGUCUGAGAGGAUGAUCCGCCACACUGGGACGGAGACACGGCCCAGACUCCUACGGGAGGCAGCAGUGGGGAAUAUUGGACAAUGGGGGGAACCCUGAUCCAGCCAUGCCGCGUGUGUGAAGAAGGCCUUAUGGUUGUAAAGCACUUUAAGCGAGGAGGAGGCUACUUUAGUUAAUACCUAGAGAUAGUGGACGUUACUCGCAGAAUAAGCACCGGCUAACUCUGUGCCAGCCGCCGCAGUAA
rnacentral:rRNA from 1 species